UACGGAGGGUGCAAGCGUUAUCCGGAUUUACUGGGUUUAAAGGGUGCGUAGGCGGGCUGAUAAGUCAGUGGUGAAAGCCCCAAGCUUAACUUGGGAAUUGCCAUUGAUACUGCCAGUCUUGAAUACGGUUGAGGUAGGCGGAAUAUAGCAUGUAGCGGUGAAAUGCUUAGAUAUGCUAUAGAACACCGAUUGCGAAGGCAGCUUACUAAGCCGUUAUUGACGCUGAGGCACGAAAGCGUGGGGAGCAAACAGGAUUAGAAACCCCUGUAGUCC
rnacentral:rRNA from 1 species